UCGUGAUUACCUACAUGAUUCAGUAUGACCCAUUAUAUUAUAUUAAUUCUCAUAUAAUGGUGUUUUACGUUUGAGGUUUGAUUUCUUUCAGGUUCUCCUCUCUACAUCCUAAUCAUACUAAUUCUGGUUUCUCUACAACCCUAAAUUUUCAAGCUAAUGUUGCAGGCGCGACUUCGUGGUGGAGAGAUUCAAUUUCACCUACGCGACAAUGAGAUUCAAUUUUGGUCCUUAUUUUGUUAUAUCAGGUAGAUUUUUUUUAGUGUGUUGAGCUAAUUCGGGUAUUGCAUUUUCAUUAUGCUUAUGUUAUUGCAUAUUAAUUCACUUUUCGAUCUAUUUGUGGGUGACCUAGUGUGCAUUUUUGAUUGAUUUCUUUGAUUCCUGGGUGAAUUUGUUUGAAUCGUGUAUAUUGUUUCUGCUAAGAUUUUCGCAUAUUAAUUUCUACAAGGUGACCUAAAAUAGAAUGCAAUUAGUUCAUACUACCUUUUUGAUUAUUUUCCUUUUUUCAAAUGUUAGUAUUUUCAUGAACAAUAUCAUUUGCACUAGUUCGUGAUAGAUUAUUUCUUGUUAUCCUUGUAAGGUACAUCCUAGAACAUAUAGGACAUCUUAAACCAAUUAAUUGAACUAGUACAUGCUAAGUUAUACGAGUGUGUACUUGGCAAGUUUUGCUGUCCUCAUCUCUCACAUUUUUCAAGAUUUAUUCUGAUGUUUUUUGGUUUUUAAUAUUACUGCUCUUGCGUCUUCUUUUGAUAGUAUAAUUCUUAUUUCAGGCUGUUACUGCUGCUCUUGCUGCUCCCAUCGUUUUGCAUUCGAGAGUAUAAUUCGUAUUCCAACUUUUUAGCGGUAAAAAAAUUGCAGAUUCUUGCCUUCAGAUGAUAAUGGUUGUUGAGUUGUCCCCUUGCUUUUCAAUUUUUUGGACAAAUAAUGACCAAAAAACCUUCUUUCCCUGCAGUAUCUUGAAGUCUUCUCAAUUUAACAACUUUAUAAAAGUUGGCUAACGAAUUUUAGUACACACUAAUACACGGUCUGCUUAUUAUCAGGAAAUUUUUUUUUUAGGAAAUAUUUACUCGGAAAUUAUGUAGAUAAUCAAAUCGAAUCUGUAACCUCUCAAUCUAAUCGUAUCGAAAAUACGAAUUAAAUUGAUGUAGUACAUGCUAAUGAACAUAUUCAUGAUAACAAUUGUUAUCCUUAUCAUUUAGUCUGAACGCACAAAAUUGGAAAAGGAGUACACGUGCAUGCAUGGGGAGAUGCAUAUCCUACCCUCACUUCAUGAAAACCAACUUAGUUAGUUUAGAUUCUUCCCCACCUCUUCAUUGGACUCGUCCUUUUUCUUUCAUCCUAAGGGACAUGAACCUAAAUGUAAAGACAAGGUCAAAAUAUUUAUUCUUUAUUGUUAGAGAACAUGACAUAAGGAUAUAUAAGGGGUGAUAGGAGUUGGAAAAAGGAAUAGGAGGCAGUGGGUUUACAGUAGUGCAAACAUCAAAUUCAUACGGGAGCUAGUCUACAAUAUCAUAGGGUGGUCUCAGUCAUAGUUCUGUGGGAAUUAAGGUCGCAACUUGGAAGCCGAAAUCGGGGCUGUUGGGGAUUAUUUCCGGUGCGGGUCUCCUACGAAUCCGACUGGGUUAGACGUUCCAUUAUGAAUUUAUUAUUAUUAAAGGCCAUAUGCAUGAUAGGGUAACGACCGUUCAAUGCUAAGAUUAUAUAUGCUUCUUUACCCUAUUUAUGACUUAAUAUGAAUACAUGUUUUGUUACUUUGCUGAUAUACCUGAUUUAAUAUAUGUGUUACUAUGAGCAGUAGCUAUUACUGAUUAUUAAAUAAAUAUGGCAAUUGAUUGAUCACCUAGUUAGGGCCCAUAUUGUUGCGAUUGUGCUUAUUGUACUUCUGUUACGCGAUGGGCCUUGGUUAGCGCCACAACUAACUAUUGCAGUGGGUUUUGGUAAGCGCAACACUAACUCUACGUGGGUCGUCAGUAUAUGUGAGUCGGGAUCCCAAAUAAAAUUUGGAUAUGAGUUAGAUUAUAGAAUUAGCCUUAUGUGUACGAUGUUAUAUACGUUCUAUAUGAUUAUUUAUACCGUAGAGUGACCAAGGCAGAGAUCCUCACUCAGUAAUUAGCACUAACCCUUACUUUCCAUUUCAGAGCAACAUUAGGCUUUAUUGGUUCACACACUGCAAAUCUGCAAAUGGUAUCAUCGAGCUCCGGGGUUGGCCGUCUUGGUGAUGACGCUAGGUAGAUAUGGACGAUUGUGUCUUGAUCCUCGUUUUGUGUUUAAAACUAGUUUGAGACUCUUACUCUCAUCAUGUACAUAUGUUAUAAGUGGUUGUGUACUAGUAUAAUGUGAGAUGUGGUUUUAUAAAAUAUCGCGGCCUUGAGGGCAAGUAUAUGGUUACUCUGGUCCGAGCCUGUGAAGCUCGAGACUUCUGUUCUAUAUGUAUAUGUGUCCUUCUAGACUUCUGGUAUAGUGUACUAUACUGUGUAGAUUUAAUAAGUCAUAUAUGACAUUGUGAGCAGUUUCUAUGUUGACUGAUUAAGUAUAUGAAUACGUAUAAACAAA
rnacentral:lncRNA from 1 species